AGAGUUUGAUCAUGGCUCAGAAUGAACGCUGGCGGCGUGCUUUACACAUGCAAGUCGAGCGAGGCCGGGUAGCAAUACCCGAGUCGAGCGGCGAACGGGUGAGUAACGCGUGGGUGACCUGCCUUCUGGUGGGGGAUAACCCGGGGAAACUCGGGCUAAUACCGCAUGAGAUCGAGAGAUGAAAGCGGGCCGCAAGGCUCGCGCCGGAAGAGGGGCCCGCGUCCGAUUAGCUAGUUGGUGAGGUGAUGGCUCACCAAGGCGACGAUCGGUAGCCGGCCUGAGAGGGUGAUCGGCCACACUGGAACUGAGACACGGUCCAGACUCCUACGGGAGGCAGCAGUGGGGAAUUUUGCGCAAUGGGGGAAACCCUGACGCAGCAACGCCGCGUGGAGGAUGAAGGUCUUCGGAUCGUAAACUCCUGUCAGUGGGGAAAAAGGGGCUUGGGUGAACAUCCCGAGUCAUUGAUUGUACCCGCAGAGGAAGCCCCGGCUAACUCUGUGCCAGCAGCCGCGGUAAUACAGAGGGGGCGAGCGUUAUUCGGAAUUAUUGGGCGUAAAGGGCGCGUAGGCGGCCGUUCAAGUGGGAGGUGAAAUCCCUCGGCUCAACCGAGGAGCUGCCUCCCAAACUGAAUGGCUUGAGUCCGGGAGAGGUGAGUGGAAUUCCCAGUGUAGCGGUGAAAUGCGUAGAUAUUGGGAGGAACACCAGUGGCGAAGGC
rnacentral:rRNA from 1 species